rnacentral:rRNA from 1 species
AUAGAGUCAAGUGAAUAAGUGCAUCAGGCGGAUGCCUUGGCGAUGAUAGGCGACGAAGGACGUGUAAGCCUGCGAAAAGCGCGGGGGAGCUGGCAAUAAAGCUAUGAUUCCGCGAUGUCCGAAUGGGGAAACCCACUGCAUUCUGUGCAGUAUCCUAAGUUGAAUACAUAGGCUUAGAGAAGCGAACCCGGAGAACUGAACCAUCUAAGUACCCGGAGGAAAAGAAAUCAACCGAGAUUCCGCAAGUAGUGGCGAGCGAACGCGGAGGAGCCUGUACGUAAUAACUGUCGAGAUAGAAGAACAAGCUGGGAAGCUUGACCAUAGCGGGUGACAGUCCCGUAUUCGAAAUCUCAACAGCGGUACUAAGCGUACGAAAAGUAGGGCGGGACACGUGAAAUCCUGUCUGAAUAUGGGGGGACCAUCCUCCAAGGCUAAAUACUCAUCAUCGACCGAUAGUGAACCAGUACCGUGAGGGAAAGGCGAAAAGAACCCCGGGAGGGGAGUGAAACAGAACCUGAAACCUGAUGCAUACAAACAGUGGGAGCGCCCUAGUGGUGUGACUGCGUACCUUUUGUAUAAUGGGUCAACGACUUACAUUCAGUAGCGAGCUUAACCGGAUAGGGGAGGCGUAGGGAAACCGAGUCUUAAUAGGGCGAUGAGUUGCUGGGUGUAGACCCGAAACCGAGUGAUCUAUCCAUGGUCAGGUUGAAGGUGCCGUAACAGGUACUGGAGGACCGAACCCACGCAUGUUGCAAAAUGCGGGGAUGAGCUGUGGGUAGGGGUGAAAGGCUAAACAAACUCGGAGAUAGCUGGUUCUCCCCGAAAACUAUUUAGGUAGUGCCUCGAGCAAGACACUGAUGGGGGUAAAGCACUGUUAUGGCUAGGGGGUUAUUGCAACUUACCAACCCAUGGCAAACUCAGAAUACCAUCAAGUGGUUCCUCGGGAGACAGACAGCGGGUGCUAACGUCCGUUGUCAAGAGGGAAACAACCCAGACCGCCGGCUAAGGUCCCAAAUGAUAGAUUAAGUGGUAAACGAAGUGGGAAGGCACAGACAGCCAGGAUGUUGGCUUAGAAGCAGCCAUCAUUUAAAGAAAGCGUAAUAGCUCACUGGUCGAGUCGUCCUGCGCGGAAGAUGUAACGGGGCUCAAAUCUAUAACCGAAGCUGCGGAUGCCGGUUUACCGGCAUGGUAGGGGAGCGUUCUGUAGGCUGAUGAAGGUGCAUUGUAAAGUGUGCUGGAGGUAUCAGAAGUGCGAAUGUUGACAUGAGUAGCGAUAAAGCGGGUGAAAAGCCCGCUCGCCGAAAGCCCAAGGUUUCCUACGCAACGUUCAUCGGCGUAGGGUAAGUCGGCACCUAAGGCGAGGCAGAAAUGCGUAGUCGAUGGGAAACAGGUUAAUAUUCCUGUACUUGAUUCAAAUGCGAUGUGGGGACGGAGAAGGUUAGGUUGGCAAGCUGUUGGAAUAGCUUGUUUAAGCCGGUAGGUGGAAGACUUAGGCAAAUCCGGGUUUUCUUAACACCGAGAAGUGAUGACGAGUGUCUACGGACACGAAGCAACCGAUACCACGCUUCCAGGAAAAGCCACUAAGCUUCAGUUUGAAUCGAACCGUACCGCAAACCGACACAGGUGGGCAGGAUGAGAAUUCUAAGGCGCUUGAGAGAACUCGGGAGAAGGAACUCGGCAAAUUGAUACCGUAACUUCGGGAGAAGGUAUGCCCUCUAAGGUUAAGGACUUGCUCCGUAAGCCCCGGAGGGUCGCAGAGAAUAGGUGGCUGCGACUGUUUAUUAAAAACACAGCACUCUGCCAACACGAAAGUGGACGUAUAGGGUGUGACGCCUGCCCGGUGCCGGAAGGUUAAUUGAAGAUGUGCAAGCAUCGGAUCGAAGCCCCGGUAAACGGCUGCCGUAACUAUAACGGUCCUAAGGUAGCGAAAUUCCUUGUCGGGUAAGUUCCGACCCGCACGAAUGGCGUAACGAUUGCCACACUGUCUCCUCCCGAGACUCAGCGAAGUUGAAGUGGUUGUGAAGAUGCAAUCUACCCGCUGCUAGACGGAAAGACCCCGUGAACCUUUACUGUAGCUUUGCAUUGGACUUUGAAGUCACUUGUGUAGGAUAGGUGGGAGGCUUGGAAGCAGAGACGCCAGUCUCUGUGGAGUCGUCCUUGAAAUACCACCCUGGUGUCUUUGAGGUUCUAACCCAGACCCGUCAUCCGGGUCGGGGACCGUGCAUGGUAGGCAGUUUGACUGGGGCGGUCUCCUCCCAAAGCGUAACGGAGGAGUUCGAAGGUUACCUAGGUCCGGUCGGAAAUCGGACUGAUAGUGCAAUGGCAAAAGGUAGCUUAACUGCGAGACCGACAAGUCGGGCAGGUGCGAAAGCAGGACAUAGUGAUCCGGUGGUUCUGUAUGGAAGGGCCAUCGCUCAACGGAUAAAAGGUACUCCGGGGAUAACAGGCUGAUUCCGCCCAAGAGUUCAUAUCGACGGCGGAGUUUGGCACCUCGAUGUCGGCUCAUCACAUCCUGGGGCUGUAGUCGGUCCCAAGGGUAUGGCUGUUCGCCAUUUAAAGUGGUACGUGAGCUGGGUUUAAAACGUCGUGAGACAGUUUGGUCCCUAUCUGCAGUGGGCGUUGGAAGUUUGACGGGGGCUGCUCCUAGUACGAGAGGACCGGAGUGGACGAACCUCUGGUGUACCGGUUGUAACGCCAGUUGCAUAGCCGGGUAGCUAAGUUCGGAAGAGAUAAGCGCUGAAAGCAUCUAAGCGCGAAACUCGCCUGAAGAUGAGACUUCCCUUGCGGUUUAACCGCACUAAAGGGUCGUUCGAGACCAGGACGUUGAUAGGUGGGGUGUGGAAGCGCGGUAACGCGUGAAGCUAACCCAUACUAAUUGCCCGUGAGGCUUGACUCUAU